rnacentral:tRNA from 1 species
AAAGAAUUAGUUAAAAAAUAACAUAAAUAUGUCAAAUUUAAAUUAUUAUUAUAUAUAAUAUUCUUUU